AGAUCUGUCAAGAAUUCAAAAACGUGGGUGAGGAUGUCCAAACAACCACGCACUGAGCAGUCCAAAAGUGUCACGUCAGAGAAAAGACAGUCCACAAAUGCCAGACAACGGGGGCAAACCUUCCAUCAUAAAGAACUUGUGGAUAUGGUUCGGCUCAUUGAUGAGUUGAGUGCCACACGUGCCCCAAGAGGGCAGGUGAACCAGCAAAAACAUGACAUAAUGUCUCAAGUAGCUACCUAUCUUAAGGAAAAAUAUGGAACAUUCCACACUCCCAAACAAGUAAAAAAAACGGUUCUCCGACUUAAAGGUUCGCGAAACUCGUAGACUGGGGUCUAUUCGCCGACAGAUUGCUGAAGAACAUGAGCCAAAGGAAGACACACAGUUGCAGGCAAAAUGUACAGAUGAGGAGGAGCCAAGUGUUAGUGGCAAUUGCAACAAGCCAGAUGAGAAUCAGGAAAUGUUGGUUUGCCCGGAAACAGAAUAUUUUACAUUGCAUUUGCAACCCAUUGAUAGUGAAAAAUUUGAACAACUUCCAGAGCCACAAAGGGAGAAUCCAGAAACCAAAACUAUUAGAUUUCUGGAUCGGAGGCUAUGUCAAAUGCAAGAAGAGUUAACUAGCCAAAUGUCAGACGUCUGAUGCUCAAAUAUCGGAUGACUGAAUGGUAUGCUCUGGAGUCCCUGAAAGGAACUCUUGGAGCUCUUGCUGUAGUAGAGGAAUGAUUACCUGCUUCUAUGAAAAUAAGAAUUUAUAGCUUCACAAUGCUAUGUUGUGUUCUUUGUUUUUGGAUUGGGUAUCUCUAUAUUUGGAUUGAAAAUUUACAGACCAUGAUGUGGCACGAGAUACAUUGUUUUAUCCUAGUUGUGGUCCUUGUUUGCUCUAUAUGUACAUCAUAAU